GCUGCGUGGGGUCCUCUACACAGCCUUCUCCUUUGUUCGUUGCUUGGAUUAUCUGGAGCACGCGGUUUUGUUUUCCCCUGGAUUCUGAGUUAAAAAAUGGAGACAACUAAAAAUGGAAGCAGAG
rnacentral:lncRNA from 12 species